rnacentral:rRNA from 1 species
AGUGAACGCUGGCGGUAGGCCUAACACAUGCAAGUCGAACGGCAGCACAGAGGAGCUUGCUCCUUGGGUGGCGAGUGGCGGACGGGUGAGGAAUACAUCGGAAUCUACUCUGUCGUGGGGGAUAACGUAGGGAAACUUACGCUAAUACCGCAAACGACCUACGGGGGAAAGCAGGGGAUCUUCGGACCUUGCGCGAUUGAAUGAGACGGGGUCGGAUUAGCUAGUUGGCGGGGUAAAUGCCCACCAAGGCGACGAUCCGUAGCUGGUCUGAGAGGAUGAUCAGCCACACUGUAACUGAGACACGGUCCAGACUCCUACGGGAGGCAGCAGUGGGGAAUAUUGGACAAUGGGCGCAAGCCUGAUCCAGCCAUACCGCGUGGGUGAAGAAGGCCUUCGGGUUGUAAAGCCCUUUUGUUGGGAAAGAAAUCCAUCUGGUUAAUACCCGGGUGGGGUGACGGUACCCAAAGAAUAAGCACCGGCUAACUUCGUGCCAGCCGCCGCAGUAA